GCAGGCGCGUAAAUUACCCAUCCUGAUACGGGGGGGUAGUGACAAUAAAUAACAAUACGGGGCCCAUCGGGUCUUGUAAUUGGAAUGAGUACAAUCUAAAUCCCUUAACGAGGAUCAAUUGGAGGGCAAGUCUGGUGCCAGCAGCCGCGGUAAUUCCAGCUCCAAUAGCGUAUAUUAAAGUUGUUGCAGUUAAAAAGCUCGUAGUUGGAUUUCUGGUAGGAGUGACCGUUCCGAACUUGAUUGUUCGUGUAUUGUGUUUUCUCCAGCCAUCCUUGUGGAGAACUUUUCUUGCAUUAAUUUGUAGGGAUUGGGACCCGCAUCGUUUACUGUGAAAAAAUUAGAGUGUUUAAAGCAGGCAAUCGCUUGAAUACAUUAGCAUGGAAUAAUAAGAUAGGACUUUGGUACUAUUUUGUUGGUUUGCAUACCAAAUUAAUGAUCAACAGGAACAGUUUGAGGAUAUUCGUAUGAACAUGUCAGAGGUGAAAUUCUUGGAUUU
rnacentral:rRNA from 1 species